rnacentral:lncRNA from 1 species
CAUCCACAAUGGUGCAAUGCACAUGGAUUCUGGCUCUGGUAAUGGACAGGGAGCAGUCCCUGGAGACAGGGCCACACUUACCCUAAUGACAGUCUCCGGGGUCUUCAUCCAGCCUGAGCACCCUGCAUGGAGCCCGGCCUGAAGUGCUCCAGCUCAGAGGAGGAGGAGGGAGAGGCAGGCACCUUCUGUCCAACAGGAAGAAGGAACCCAAGACUGAAGACCCACAGCUAAAGAUGAUGAAACUAAGACUAAGAGAAGUUCACCAACUUGUCCAAGGCCACAACUCACAGUGGAAUCUGAACUCGGCUCCAUAUGACUCGAGUCCCACGAUCUUUUCAUGUUCCCUGCUACCUCUCCCUCUCAGCCUGCUACAGUGAUGGGACAUUUAUGAACUUGCAAAAUGCUUUCUCACAAAUGAUCUUAUUUGAUUUUCACAAACAUGUGUGAGGCAGGUAUAAGUUCUGUUCUAUGGAUGAACAAUUGGUCUUCAGGUAAAGAACAACUUGUCCAAGGUCAAAUAGCUGAUAAGUAUCUGGGAACUGGGACCUAAAUACACAUUUGAUGAGUAACUUUGCCACAAUAUCUUAUCUGGACACUUGAAAACAUACUCCAGCCCUGUCAUAAACCCAGGAGAAUUUGAAGAUGUCCCUCCCUACUUACAGCCUGGUUUCAUGAUCACUAGAAACUUGUUUAACUAAACUCCUUUCUGUUCUCAGGAUGGCUCAGGGGACUGAGCUGGAAAAAAAAAGGCCUCAGAAGGGAAAUGGAGGCCCAGAAAGCUUUGGUGAGCAGCUCGAGAUUACAUAGGACAUGGAGACCAGAACUCAUGUUUCCUCAAAUAGUUCAUUUCCAGGGGGCUUUUAGGCUAUUAAUUCUAUAAUCUGCCCUCUGUCUGCCUCAGGGACUCUCCCCUCCAACCCCCAUUUGGACCAUGAACUGAUGCCAAUGGCACCAAGGAAGCAUCAACUGAUACUGGGCAGAAGGGCAGGGCAGUGGCCCCUGGGAGUCUUCAUGGCUCCUCUGGCAGAAAGUACCUGGAGGCAUCAGCUCAUGGACCUGGAGCAUAUCAGCAAGGAACAGAGAUAAACUGUACCGCAUCACCACCCUGGCACUACUCAUGAGAAACUUUCCCAACCAUUAUGCUUGGUUGACUUGGCCGGAAAGGAGUUAACACACAACAUGUGAGGAGUACACUGAGUAGGGAGCUGUGUUCUUGGGUGACCUGUGGGUAUCUGGGCCCAUUUAAUGCACCAAGUCUUCAAAUAGUGGCAGCCAUCACAGGCUCUUCUGUCUGCUUGUGCAUGCACAUGGGGAUCCUUCACUUGGUGGCUUCUCCCCAAGCAAACGUUUUUAGCCCAUCCUGGAUUCUCCUCACUGCCCUCUCUACCCUGGGAAAUGCAACCCACAUUGUCCAAGUCAGACCUAAUUAGACCAGCAAAUCAGUGGCACUCAAGUCAUCACAGCACACUCCAAGCACAAGAGGAAAUGCUGUGUAGGUUAUCCUGUGCGCUGCUUGUUGUGUCUGUUUGUGUUUCCUUGGAUUAUCCAUUCUCUGCUCCCUGCCUUCCAUUACCUCACUAAUGGAGAGGCAGGAUGCAGUCCUCCACAGGCCAGCAUUCAUCUUCCCAGUCUGACCCUCUCGGAGGCUAUUACGCUGCUGUCGCAAGAUCGACGAGGGGAGAAAAAUGAAAACAGUGCACAGGGAACAAUGGAGGGCAAAUGGGACUCUUUUAGAACCGGAUCCACUGAUACGUCAGGCCAAGGAGAAAUGACCACAAGCUCUGAAAAGUGGAGAGCUCCCCCAGACGGCAAAGCCAGUUCACAAUAUCUGAAACGACCAGGAAUGUUAUAGGAGUAACCUACCAAACAGGAGCCCACCCAGGCAGUGAAAGGAAGGGAGAAGAGAAGCUGCUGCAGCCUGGGUAGAUACAUGGAGCCUAAGGGAAUUCCAGAGAACAUGGCUCCAGACACCAGUGAACUAAGAGGCCGAGAUUCCCAGCAUGCAGACCUGGGACAACGGCCGGAGCUGGAAAUGGGACUCCAUGAAGCCAGAGGACUUCCAAGAUCAGAGAUCAUCUGGUCUCGGGCAGGAGAGGGCAAGGACACUGGAUAAUGGAUUUCCUUCUGGAAAGGGUGGCUUUCCGUGUCUCUGGAAAGAGUACAGGGGGCAUUGGAAACCCAGGUGGGAGGCAGGGACUGCUCAGAGACAGAAGACCCUGCCCUUGCACGUUGCCACGUGGGCUGCCUUACUCCCACUCAGUGACCUCCCCUCCAGCAGCACCACCCUUCUCUCCUCUCACCCUGCCAGCUCCAAGUUCUCCGUGCGAGAAUCCUUCCCACUGCAGAGUCGAAUCUACUCCAUUUUCCAAGCCUAAAUCAGCCGCGCCCCCCUGAGGAAGCGUUCCCUAUAUAACUCCCACACAGAGCUCACAGUUCUGAUAACAUUUAUAGUCUAAAUCACACAGUUUAGCACUCGGUUUUAAAUACUGUCUGGUAUUAUUCCCUCAUUAUUUCUUGUGAGUGUAAGUUCUGCCUCCCCAGCUGAUCAGUAGGUUUCCUUACCAGUAAAGACUGUGUCCUGUGCUUUUUUAUUUCCUUCC